AGAGUUUGAUCCUGGCUCAGGAUGAACGCUAGCUACAGGCUUAACACAUGCAAGUCGAGGGGCAGCGGGAUUGAAGCUUGCUUCAAUUGCCGGCGACCGGCGCACGGGUGAGUAACGCGUAUCCAACCUUCCGCUUACUCGGGGAUAGCCUUUCGAAAGAAAGAUUAAUACCCGAUGGUAUCUUAAGCACGCAUGAGAUUAAGAUUAAAGAUUUAUCGGUAAGCGAUGGGGAUGCGUUCCAUUAGGCAGUUGGCGGGGUAACGGCCCACCAAACCUACGAUGGAUAGGGGUUCUGAGGGGAAGGUCCCCCACAUUGGAACUGAGACACGGUCCAAACUCCUACGGGAGGCAGCAGUGAGGAAUAUUGGUCAAUGGGCGAGAGCCUGAACCAGCCAAGUAGCGUGAAGGAUGACGGCCCUACGGGUUGUAAACUUCUUUUGUGCGGGAAUAAAGGAACCUACGUGUAGGUUUUUGCAUGUACCGUAACGAAUAAGCAUCGGCUAACUCCGUGCCAGCAGCCGCGGUAAUACGGAGGAUGCGAGCGUUAUCCGGAUUUAUUGGGUUUAAAGGGAGCGUAGACGGGUUUUUAAGUCAGCUGUGAAAGUUUGGGGCUCAACCUUAAAAUUGCAGUUGAAACUGGAGACCUUGAGUACGGUUGAGGCAGGCGGAAUUCGUGGUGUAGCGGUGAAAUGCUUAGAUAUCACGAAGAACCCCGAUUGCGAAGGCAGCCUGCUAAGCCGCCACUGACGUUGAGGCUCGAAAGUGCGGGUAUCAAACAGGAUUAGAUACCCUGGUAGUCCGCACGGUAAACGAUGGAUACUCGCUGUUGGCGAUAGACUGUCAGCGGCCAAGCGAAAGCGUUAAGUAUCCCACCUGGGGAGUACGCCCGGCAACGGUGAAACUCAAAGGAAUUGACGG
rnacentral:rRNA from 1 species